AUUGAACGCUGGCGGCAUGCCUUACACAUGCAAGUCGAACGGCAGCACGGGAGCAAUCCUGGUGGCGAGUGGCGAACGGGUGAGUAAUACAUCGGAACGUGCCCAGUUGUGGGGGAUAGCCCGGCGAAAGCCGGAUUAAUACCGCAUACGACCUACGGGUGAAAGCGGGGGAUCGCAAGACCUCGCGCUAUUGGAGCGGCCGAUGUCGGAUUAGCUAGUUGGUGGGGUAAAAGCCUACCAAGGCUACGAUCCGUAGCUGGUCUGAGAGGACGACCAGCCACACUGGGACUGAGACACGGCCCAGACUCCUACGGGAGGCAGCAGUGGGGAAUUUUGGACAAUGGGCGCAAGCCUGAUCCAGCCAUGCCGCGUGCGGGAAGAAGGCCUUCGGGUUGUAAACCGCUUUUGUCAGGGAAGAAACGGUUUGGGCUAAUACCCCGAACUAAUGACGGUACCUGAAGAAUAAGCACCGGCUAACUACGUGCCAGCCGCCGCCGUAAUAC
rnacentral:rRNA from 1 species